rnacentral:rRNA from 1 species
UACGGAGGGUGCAAGCGUUAUCCGGAAUCACUGGGUUUAAAGGGUGCGUAGGCGGUCUGAUAAGUCAGUAGUGAAAUCGCUGGGCUUAACCCAUGCAAUUGCUAUUGAUACUGUGAGACUUGAAACAGGUUGAGGUAGGCGGAAUGUGACAUGUAGCGGUGAAAUGCAUAGAUAUGUCAUAGAACACCGAUUGCGAAGGCAGCUUGCUGGACCUGAUUUGACGCUGAGGCACGAAAGCGUGGGGAGCAAACAGG